rnacentral:snoRNA from 1 species
ACCUUUUUGUAGUUCAUAAGCAUGAUGACUGGGUUUUCACACUCACAUGUGAGAUGUGCCGCCCUCAAAUCUUCUUAUGAGGGAGGCACAUUACCCAUCUGACA